rnacentral:tRNA from 3 species
GGGUCGUUAGCUCAGUUGGUAGAGCAGUUGACUUUUAAUCAAUUGGUCGCAGGUUCGAAUCCUGCACGACCUA